rnacentral:rRNA from 1 species
CCUACGGGUGGCAGCAGUGGGGAAUAUUGGGCAAUGGGCGCAAGCCUGACCCAGCAACGCCGCGUGAAGGAAGAAGGCUUUCGGGUUGUAAACUUCUUUUCUCAGGGACGAAGAAAGCGACGGUACCUCAGGAAUAAGCCACGACUAACUACGUGCCAGCAGCCGCGGUAAUACGGAGGCGGCAAGCGUUAGCAGGAUUUAUUGGGUGUAAAGGGCGUGUAGGCGGGAGCGCAAGUCAGAUGUGAAAACUCAGGGCUCAACCCUGAGCCUGCAUUUGAAACUGUGUUUCUUGAGUGCAGGAGAGGCAAGCGGAAUUCCGGGUGUAGCGGUGAAAUGCGUAGAUAUACGGAGGAACACCAGUGGCGAAGGCGGAUUGCUGGACAGUAACUGACGCUGAGGCGCGAAAGCGUGGGGAGCAAACAGGAUUAGAUACCCCUGUAGUC